UGACGGGAAAAGAAGGGAGGAGGGGAGAGAACACAAGGAUGGGACGAAUCAUAGCUCUAAACUCGUGCAGAAUCAAGAGUCAAGAACCAAGAAGGAACUGGAGAGCUAGGAUUUAUUUAAGGCCAUCUAUGUCUAUGAUUUGUCCAUGGCUAUUUAAGCAUAACUUGAAUAUAUAUAUUCAACAUUAUAACAAUGUUUUUUAAAUUAGAGGCGUGAAUUAGUAAAGUGCUUAUAGAGAACAUGUCUUUAAGUUAAGGAAUAGAUUGAGGAGCUAAAUGGAGAAAGAUGGAAUCGGUUCAAGGUGUGGCACUGGCAGCAGCAAAGAUGUUUGGUGUGCUGCCAGAGGAGGGGAUGGCACUGCUGGUGGGUGUGCCCACGGUGUUCACUGCCAAACUGCCAGGUGGAGGUUUCUUCACUGGUACAACCACGCUCCUUGACUGGUGCAGGAUUCUUCCAUGUUUUCCUUUCUGAACAGACUGAGAUGGGGAGGAGUGAAGAAGCGUUGAGGAGCCUCUAUAAAAAGACUGAUAGGAGGCCCAUGUAAACACAGACUGUGGUUGCGGUAUUCUCAACCACAUAAUACACUUUCGCUGAUGCGGUUGCUUAAACGAUUAUUUUUUUAAAUCAUGGUUUAUAUAUUUUCCAGGUUAUCUGUAUUAGCAACCUAAUCUUUUAGUAAAGAAAAAAAAAUCACUUAUUGGACCUUUAAGCCAAUGAGUCGAAAGCAUUCGAGUAUUUCUUCAGAGUAUUUCUUCAUAGUGAAUUUUACAGCCUACUGUCCUCUGACCUGAGAGUAACCUCCAUCACAUUAUCUUCAUG